CCUACGGGAGGCAGCAGUGAGGAAUAUUGGUCAAUGGACGAGAGUCUGAACCAGCCAAGUCGCGUGAAGGAUGACUGCCCUACGGGUUGUAAACUUCUUUUAUAUGGGAAUAAAAUGUUGCACGUGACGUGUUUUGUAUGUACCAUAUGAAUAAGGAUCGGCUAACUCCGUGCCAGCAGCCGCGGUAAUACGGAGGAUCCGAGCGUUAUCCGGAUUUAUUGGGUUUAAAGGGUGCGGAGGCGGAUGGUUAAGUCAGUUGUGAAAGUGGGGGGCUCAACCGUAAAAUUGCAGUUGAAACUGGCAGCAUUGAGUGCAGUAGGGGUGGGCGGAAUUCGUGGUGUAGCGGUGAAAUGCUUAGAUAUCACGAAGAACUCCGAUCGCGAAGGCAGCUUACUGGCCUGCAACUGACGCUGAGGCACGAAAGUGUGGGUAUCGAACAGGAUUAGAUACCCGUGUAGUA
rnacentral:rRNA from 1 species